UGGGGAAUCUUGCGCAAUGGACGAAAGUCUGACGCAGCCACGCCGCGUGAGUGAAGAAGGCCUUCGGGUUGUAAAGCUCUGUCGGGAGGGACGAACAUCUAUACAGUUAAGAGCUGGGUAGACUGACGGUACCUCUAAAGGAAGCACCGGCUAACUUCGUGCCAGCAGCCGCGGUAAUACGAGGGGUGCAAGCGUUGCUCGGAAUCAUUGGGCGUAAAGGGUAGGUAGGUGGUCUCAUUUGUCUGGGGUGAAAUCCUUGGGCUUAACUCAAGAAGUGCCCCAGAAACGGUGAGACUAGAGUACUGGAGAGGCGAGUGGAAUUCCCGGUGUAGCGGUGAAAUGCGUAGAGAUCGGGAGGAACACCAGAGGCGAAGGCGGCUCGCUGGACAGUUACUGACACUCAACUACGAAAGCGUGGGGAGCAAACAGGAUUAGAUACCCCCGUAGUCC
rnacentral:rRNA from 1 species